GUGAACGCUGGCGGUAGGCCUAACACAUGCAAGUCGAACGGCAGCACAGUAAGAGCUUGCUCUUACGGGUGGCGAGUGGCGGACGGGUGAGGAAUACAUCGGAAUCUACUUUUUCGUGGGGGAUAACGUAGGGAAACUUACGCUAAUACCGCAUACGACCUACGGGUGAAAGCAGGGGAUCUUCGGACCUUGCGCGAUUGAAUGAGCCGAUGUCGGAUUAGCUAGUUGGCGGGGUAAAGGCCCACCAAGGCGACGAUCCGUAGCUGGUCUGAGAGGAUGAUCAGCCACACUGGAACUGAGACACGGUCCAGACUCCUACGGGAGGCAGCAGUGGGGAAUAUUGGACAAAGGGCGCAAGCCUGAUCCAGCCAUACCGCGUGGGUGAAGAAGGACUUCGGGUUGUAAAGCCCUUUUGUUGGGAAAGAAAAGCAGCAGGUUAAUACCCCGCUGUUCUGACGGUACCCAAAGAAUAAGCACCGGCUAACUUCGUG
rnacentral:rRNA from 1 species